AUUACUGUGGACAUUCAAUGCACGUCUCCACCAAAUCUCAUUCAAUUCAAAACUUUUCGACUUCCCACCCAUUCUUCGCAAGAAUCUGCAAACCCUAGUUGCAUAUCUACCAACAUUUCCUCUCUCCACUUCUGAAAUCUUUGUUCGUAAUCUUUCACGAAUCUCUACCGACGUUUGCCCUCUCCGUUUCUGAGAUCUCCCAUUGCAACUCUCCCAAAAACACAUUCCCCAAAAUUCAAACCGGAGUUGCAUCUUUCUAAGGUUCUAACAUUUUUGUUCAAUGAUGGCUAAGAAAUGCAAAAAUUCGAAAGCACCAUGCCGGUGGAGGUCGGGGGAUCGUCUUGAAUGGGUAAGCAUGUGCUUGUUUUUGCUAUGCGUUGAUUCCUUCUUUUUCAGGGGUCGCGAAUUGGGGAUCUGCCCUGAUUUAUUCUUCUAAAUUGUUGAUGAAAGGUAGAAUCAGUAAGUUGUUUCAACCGCUCCGAAGUUGUUUCAUCCACUAUGAAGGCGAUAGCUUGACCCUAGGAUUGUUUGAUGGAUGGUGUUACAAUAGAUGGCGAUGGAUGGUUUGCUGGAUGACGUUAUAGUAGGCGGUGACGAUGAAUUGUUUGAUGGAUAGCUUGAUUUAGCCUUGGCUUAUUCUUCUAAAUUGUAGUGACACAAUUUUAUUAUCUCUCCAUUUAACGCAAUAAAUAACACUUUUUAA